UGACCGGCGGGGGAGGCGCGGGGGGAAGCCCGCGGCGCCCGCCUCCAGGGGCCCAGCCCCGCUGCCGCCACCGCCGCUGCCUCCGCCGCCGCCCGCGAUCUGCGGGUCCCGCCGCCGGGCGUCCGCGAGUCCGAGCGAGCCGCAGUCCGGGGCGAGUCCGAGCGGGAGCCGAGCCGGGCGCGGGGGGCGCCGCCCGCCAUGGACCACAAGCCCCUGCUGCAGGAGCGGCCGCCCGCCUACAACCUGGAGGCCGGCCAGGGCGAGUUCGCGUGCGCCCCGCACGGCUACGGCGCCAUCGCCGCCGCCCCGCCGCCGCCCUACCCCUACCUCGUCACAGGGAUACCCACCCACCACCCCAGGGUCUACAACAUCCACAGUCGGAAUGUCACCCGGUACCCUGCCAAUUCCAUCGUUGUGGUCGGAGGCUGCCCAGUCUGCAGCCCACCCGCCUGGCCAUUCUGCCCUGGGAGCCUGGCAGGCAUCUGCAGGAGUCACACGUCCGUGAUUCCCUGAGCGAGGCCCGUACCACUUGGUCCUCUGCCACCGUCGGAGCCCGCGUGGGUAGCCCGACCUCGUCUCCUUUUAUUAGCAGCAGCAGACGAGCGCGCGCACACCACCCCUGACCACCCUCGGCCCCUGUGGUGUGGGCCGAGCACCGCCUGGCCCAGGCCUCGGCCUCGGCCCUGAGGUGGUCCUCCCCUGGCACGGGGCCUGUCCCGGGAUGCAGGACCCGGUGGCAGGGCUGCGGGGGGCGGGCCUGUGCAGAGGGCACCGGGCCCGGCGUGGAAGCCAGAGGGUCGGGGUUCUGGAGGACUCGUUCACCUUCCUGGGCAUCUUCUUGGCCAUCGUCCUGUUCCCCUUUGGGUUCAUCUGCUGUUUCGCCUUGAGGAAGCGAAGAUGCCCCAACUGUGGAGCCAACUUCACUUAAAGGGAAGAGCACACCCGGCUCUCCCGCACCCCGCUUUUUCUGAUGUAAAUGUCGUGUACAGUAGCUUUAUCUGGUGAA